GCUUGUCUCAAAGAUUAAGCCAUGCAUGUCUAAGUAUAACUCUUUUACUUUGAAAACUGCGAACGGCUCAUUAUAUCAGUUAUAGUUUCUUUGAUAGUCCCUUACUACUUGGAUACCCGUAGUAAUUCUAGAGCUAAUACAUGCAUCAAACCCCGACUUCUGGAAGGGGUGUAUUUAUUAGAUGGAAACCAAUGCAGGGCAACCUGGAAUAUGGUGAUUCAUAAUAACUCGCGGAUCGGUUUACCGAUGCAUCAUUCAAGUUUCUGCCCUAUCAGCUUUGGAUGGUAGGGUAUUGGCCUACCAUGGCUUUAACGGGUAACGGAGAAUUAGGGUUCGAUUCCGGAGAGGGAGCCUGAGAAAUGGCUACCACAUCCAAGGAAGGCAGCAGG
rnacentral:rRNA from 1 species